AAGGAAUAUUGGUCAAUGGACGGAAGUCUGAACCAGCCAUCCCGCGUGCAGGAAGAAGGUCCUAUGGAUUGUAAACUGCUUUUAGCAGAGACGAAACGCCUUCAUUUAUGGGGGUUUGACGGUAUCUGCGGAAUAAGCACCGGCUAACUCCGUGCCAGCAGCCGCGGUAAUACGGAGGGUGCAAGCGUUAUCCGGAAUCACUGGGUUUAAAGGGUGCGUAGGCGGGGGAUUAAGUCAGUGGUGAAAGCCUGUAGCUUAACUACAGAAUUGCCAUUGAUACUGAUUUUCUUGAAUUGGGUUGAGGUUAGCGGAAUGUGACAUGUAACGGUGAAAUGUUUAGAUAUGUCAUGGAACACCGAUUGCGAAGGCAGCUAGCUGGGCCUUGAUUGACGCUGAGGCACGAAAGCGUGGGUAGCGAAC
rnacentral:rRNA from 1 species